rnacentral:rRNA from 1 species
CCUACGGGAGGCAGCAGUGGGGAAUUUUCCGCAAUGGGCGAAAGCCUGACGGAGCAACGCCGCGUGAGGGAUGAAGGCCUCUGGGCUGUAAACCUCUUUUCUCAAGGAAGAAGUCUGACGGUACUGAGA